GCGGCAAGACGGAAAGACCCCGUGAACCUUUACUAUAGCUUGACACUGAACAUUGAGCCUUGAUGUGUAGGAUAGGUGGGAGGCUUUGAAGUGUGGACGCCAGUCUGCAUGGAGCCGGCCUUGAAAUACCACCCUUUAAUGUUUGAUGUUCUAACGUGGACCCGUGAUCCGGGUUGCGGACAGUGUCUGGUGGGUAGUUUGACUGGGGCGGUCUCCUCCUAAAGAGUAACGGAGGAGCACGAAGGUUGGCUAAUCCUGGUCGGACAUCAGGAGGUUAGUGCAAUGGCAUAAGCCAGCUUGACUGCGAGCGUGACGGCGCGAGCAGGUGCGAAAGCAGGUCAUAGUGAUCCGGUGGUUCUGAAUGGAAGGGCCAUCGCUCAACGGAUAAAAGGUACUCCGGGGAUAACAGGCUGAUACCGCCCAAGAGUUCAUAUCGACGGCGGUGUUUGGCACCUCGAUGUCGGCUCAUCACAUCCUGGGGCUGAAGUAGGUCCCAAGGGUAUGGCUGUUCGCCAUUUAAAGUGGUACGCGAGCUGGGUUUAGAACGUCGUGAGACAGUUCGGUCCCUAUCUGCCGUGGGCGCUGGAGAACUGAGGGGGGCUGCUCCUAGUACGAGAGGACCGGAGUGGACGCAUCACUGGUGUUCGGGUUGUCAUGCCAAUGGCACUGCCCGGUAGCUAAAUGCGGAAGAGAUAAGUGCUGAAAGCAUCUAAGCACGAAACUUGCCCCGAGAUGAGUUCUCCCUGACCCUUUAAGGGUCCUGAAGGAACGUUGAAGACGACGACGUUGAUAGGCCGGGUGUGUAAGCGCAGCGAUGCGUUGAGCUAACCGGUACUAAUGAACCGUGAGGCUUAACCUUACAACGCCGAAG
rnacentral:rRNA from 1 species